rnacentral:snRNA from 1 species
AUUCUUGCGCUUGGGGAUAUGACGCAGCUAGUGAGGUACUAACCGAGGCGCGUCUAUUGCUGGUUGAAAACUAUUUCCAAACCCCCUCUUCUGUCCGGGCUAUGUCUAGGCUAUAGAGAAUUUCUGGAAGGGCUCCUUAAUGGGUAAAGUC